GCUGGGUGAGGUGGCACAUGCCUGUAAUCCCUGUGACUCAGGAGGCUGAGGUAGGAGGAUCACAAGUUCAAAAUCAGCAUCAGCAAAUUAAUGAGGCUUUAAGCAACUUAGUGAGAACUUGCCUCAA
rnacentral:sRNA from 1 species